rnacentral:rRNA from 1 species
AUGGAUUCCUGAUUGACUGAGCGGCGGACGGGUGAGUAACGUGUGGGCAACCUGCCCUAUACUGGGGAAUAAUCACUGGAAACGGUGACUAAUACCGCAUGUCAUUACGGAAGGGCAUCCUUCUGUAAGAAAAGGAGUAAUUCGGUAUAGGAUGGGCCCGCAUCUGAUUAGCUAGUUGGUGAGAUAACAGCCCACCAAGGCGACGAUCAGUAGCCGACCUGAGAGGGUGAUCGGCCACAUUGGGACUGAGACACGGCCCAAACUCC